GUUGGUCUGAGUCUUCAAAAUCAUUUUAUUCCUUUCAUUGUAACAUAUAUUUGACAUAGGAAAUAUUUAUUUUUACAUCCUUUUUCUCUCUAAAAUCCUUAUACAAACAUAGGUCUGAGUCUUCCACACAAAUUGAUCUUUCUUAGGAUCCAUAACCAGAAAAAAAAAGGUCCACUUCGGGUCAUCUAUGCCCAAACAUCAAACCUAAUCUGAGUACUAUAAGUGUUAAAAUGCAUAGAGAUGUCUAUGAAUACAUUUGCUACAGAGUUGAGGACAAAAUUAACUUGCUUCAGAAUCUCCCACAAAGAAGGGUUGUGUUGGUGCUGCUAUGUCUUGCUUCUAGUUAAAAUACUAGGACUACUAUUGACAAGUGACUAUUGAGCUGCUGCUGCUUCUUCAUGAAUUUCUCCUUCUUCAACUGGACUGAAACUCACUCGUUUUUGAAAAUUCAAAUUCAGCCAAUAACAUUAGCUUAAUUUCACAUUACUUAAUAACAUUAUUCUAUAUGAUUU
rnacentral:lncRNA from 1 species